CCCCGCCGCCUUCCCCCGCCGCUCAGGCCGAAGCUCCCCCGGCUCCUGCUGCAUCGCCGCCUCCAGGAGCCGCGGGAUUUCCCAUUCCCCAACCUUGGCCCGAUGGAAGGGGAGGCCGUGAGGAAGACGAAGAUGGCCCGGGAGCCUCAGGCAGACCAGGCGCUGAGGAUGGAGAG